AUGAUGUGUACUCCAUAUUUGGUUGGAAAAACAAUGGAGUGGAUGUUUUUGGGUUUCUUAGUACUGAAGGAGAAAAAGCAACCAAAAAAAUACCUGUUAGUUUUGUUAGCAAGAAAAAUGUACCUAUGCUGGGAGAAGGUGCAACCAAUCACCGGUCCAAAAUAUGAUCCGUUGGCAUUGUUGAGCCCGCUGAUGAGGAACUGGACGGAAGAUAUGGCUGUGAGAAGAGACAAAUACGACUAUGAAUAUGGUCGUGGUGUUGGGAUGAUCGAUGACAACAUUACAGAGGAGUAUAGGCUGAAAAAAAUUGCGGAAGAAGAAGCUCAAAAAACCAAGAAAGCUAGUAGCAAAAAAUCUAACGUUACUGGAACGAGGAAAGAGGGCAGUACCUCGGAGGCUUCGAGCCAGAAGCCUACUAUGGACCGGAUUUUGAGUGAGAUGAAUGAGCUUCGGAAGGAAAUGCUUCGUUUGCCAGAGUUAUGCGCACAGAGGAUGAUUGAGAAACUGAACAAAACCGGCGUCUCCUACAAACCCAGUAACCUGGAAGAGGACGAAGAGAAUCUGUACGGAGGCAUUAGUGAGUCUUCAAACGAUGGUGGACGUCCGAAAAAAGAGUUUGUAUAUCAAAAAGAUGAUUCAGACCGGUUCCGCACACCUUCCAAAAUGAAUUUGCAAAAGGAUGAUGACGGCGUUGAUGUAACUUCUCGUGGAAACACACCUUUUUACUGCACACCUGAGUACUGGGAUAGUUUCAAGGGUGAUAUGGAUGAUCCUAUCCAAGUACCAGAAGUAUCAGAUGAAAAAGCUGCCACAUCUUUAGAGACGGACGAAAUCGCAUCGCAUGCGUCGCUUGGUUCUCAAGGAGUACAAGAGGAAGUGGAGGAGGUUACUGGCAGGCGCAAGCGCAAAGGAUCACAACAUGUCAAGUCUCCUUAUGUGGUCCCUAAACCGAACAAACGUGCAAAACGUUCUGCCAAAGGAAAAUUGUUCCAAAAUGGUGGUGUUAACAAAUCUGGUGAUGAGUAUGAUGUGGUGAGAGCGUUCAUCAAGUACGUGCGCGCGCAUGAGCAUUCACAAAAACAUGCCAAAACAGAAAUUUUCAAUGAUGGCAUGGAAGAAGGUCUCACUGUGCGGAGAGCUUGUCAGAUUAUUAAUCAUGAGUAG
rnacentral:rRNA from 1 species